rnacentral:rRNA from 1 species
AUUGAACGCUGGCGGCAGGCCUAACACAUGCAAGUCGAACGAGUGGCGGACGGGUGAGUAAUGUAUGGGAAACUGCCUGAUGGCGGGGGAUAACUACUGGAAACGGUAGCUAAUACCGCAUACCCUCAGAUGAACCCAGAUGGGAUUAGCUUGUGGGUGGGGUAACGGCUAACCAGGGCGACGAUCCCUAGCUGGUCUGAGAGGAUGAACAGCCACACUGGGACUGUGACACGGUCCAGACUCCUACGGGAGGCAGCAGUGGGUAAGAUUGCACAAUGGGCGCAAGCCUGAUGCAGCCAUGCCGCGUGUAUGAAGAAGGCCUUCGGGUUGUAAAGUACUUUCAGCGGGGAGGCGUUACCCGCAGAAGAAGCACCGGCUAACUCCGUGCCAGCAGCCGCGGUAAUUC